rnacentral:rRNA from 1 species
CAAGUUUGAUCCUGGCUCAGGAUAAACGCUAGCGGCAGGCCUAACACAUGCAAGUCGAGGGGCAUCGGAUAGAGUACUUCGGUACUCUUGCCGGCGACCGGCGGACGGGUGCGUAACGCGUAUGCAACCUACCUUCAACAGGGGGAUAAUCCGAAGAAAUUUGGUCUAAUACCCCAUAAUAUUCCGACAGGCUUCUGUCGGAGUUGAAAGCUUCGGUGGUUGGAAAUGGGCAUGCGUUGUAUUAGCUAGAUGGUGAGGUAACGG